GAUGAAGAACGCAGCGAAAUGCGAUAAGUAAUGCGAAUUGCAGAAUUUCCGUGAGUCAUCGAAUCUUUGAACGCACAUUGCGCCCCUUGGUAUUCCGAGGGGCAUGCCUGUUCGAGCGUCAUUUCAACCCUCAAGCACAGCUUGGUCUUGGGCUUCGCCGCUAACCCGGCGGGUCUUAAAAUCAGUGGCGGUGCCGUCGGGCCCUGAGCGCAGUAAUCUCUCUCGCUAUAGGGUCCCGGCGGAUGCUGGCCAGUAACCCCCAAUUUUCUAUGGUUGACCUCGGAUCAGGUAGGGAUACCCGCUGAACUUAAGCAUAUCAAUAAGCGGAGGA
rnacentral:misc_RNA from 1 species